rnacentral:rRNA from 1 species
CAUGUGGGUUAAUUCGAUGCAACGCGAAGAACCUUACUCUGGGUUUGACAUGCACAGGACGCCGGCAGAGAUGUCGGUUCCCUUGUGGCCUGUGUGCAGGUGGUGCAUGGCUGUCUGUCAGCUCGUCGUCGUGAGAUGUUGGGUUAAGUCCCGCAACGAGCGCAACCCUUGUCCUAUGUUGCCAGCGGGUUAUGCCGGGGACUCGUAGGAGACUGCCGGGGUCAACUCGGAGGAAGGUGGGGAUGACGUCAAGUCAUCAUGCCCCUUAUGUCCAGGGCUUCACACAUGCUACAAUGGCCGGUACAAAGGGCCUGCGAUGCCGUGAGGUGGAGCGAAUCCUUUCAAAGCCGGUCUCAGUUCAGGAUCGGGGUCUGCAACUCGACCCCGUGAAGUCGGAGUCGCUAGUAAUCGCAGAUCACCAACGCUGCGGUGAAUACGUUCCCGGGCCUUGUACACACCGCCCGUCACGUCAUGAAAGUCGGUAACACCCGAAGCCGGGGGCCUAACCCUUGUGGAGGGAGCCGUCGAAGGUGGGAUCGGCGAUUGGGACGAAGUCGUA